rnacentral:rRNA from 1 species
AUGCAUGUCUAAGUACAAGCCUCAUUAAGGUGAAACCGCGAAUGGCUCAUUAAAUCACACCUAAUAUACUGGAUAGUAUCAGUUACUUGGAUAACUGCGGUAAUUCUGGAGCUAAUACAUGCGUCCAAGACCCGAACUUGCGUGAGGGUCGCUUUUAUUAGAUCAAGACCAAACGCCCUCGUGGCGUCCCCCUGGUGACUCUGAAUAACUUUGUGCUGAUCGCACGGCCUUGUGCCGGCAACGUAUCUUUCUAAGGUGUGCCCUAUCAACUGUCGACUGUGGCAUAGACGCCCACAGUGGUUUUGACGGGUAACGGGGAAUCAGGGUUCGAUUCCGGAAGAGGGAGCCUGAAAAACGGCUACCACU